AACUAACGCUAUAUAAGUAUCAGUUUCUGUACUUUAUUGGUAUGCGAAACUUCCGGAACCUGUCUUCCGGCAAGAUUUUGGAAGCGCGCAAGCGCUAUUUUUUUUUGUGUGCGUGCGUGUGGUGGUGGCGGCGCCCCCCUGCUGUCCGGCGGGUGGCGCGGCUCCCGCGGCGGUGGCCACGCCGCGCUGCAAGGGUGCGCCCGCGCCGCUGGGGGCCACGGGGCCGCGGAGCAGGCGUCCCCCGAGUGCCGCGGCCCAGCAGCAACGCGGCCGCGGUGUGCGUGCGCGCGGCCGCCUCCGUCCCGCGGGCGCCGCCCGCCAGCGUAUGGCGGGCGCG
rnacentral:misc_RNA from 1 species